rnacentral:rRNA from 1 species
UGGGUGGCGAGUGGCGGACGGGUGAGGAAUACAUCGGAAUCUACUUUUUCGUGGGGGAUAACGUAGGGAAACUUACGCUAAUACCGCAUACGACCUACGGGUGAAAGCAGGGGAUCUUCGGACCUUGCGCGAUUGAAUGAGCCGAUGUCGGAUUAGCUAGUUGGCGGGGUAAAGGCCCACCAAGGCGACGAUCCGUAGCUGGUCUGAGAGGAUGAUCAGCCACACUGGAACUGAGACACGGUCCAGACUCCUACGGGAGGCAGCAGUGGGGAAUAUUGGACAAUGGGCGCAAGCCUGAUCCAGCCAUACCGCGUGGGUGAAGAAGGCCUUCGGGUUGUAAAGCCCUUUUGUUGGGAAAGAAAUCCAGCCGGCUAAUACCUGGUUGGGAUGACGGUACCCAAAGAAUAAGCACCGGCUAACUUCGUGCCAGCAGCCGCGGUAAUACGAAGGGUGCAAGCGUUACUCGGAAUUACUGGGCGUAAAGCGUGCGUAGGUGGUUGUUUAAGUCUGUUGUGAAAGCCCUGGGCUCAACCUGGGAACUGCAGUGGAAACUGGACAACUAGAGUGUGGUAGAGGGUAGCGGAAUUCCCGGUGUAGCAGUGAAAUGCGUAGAGAUCGGGAGGAACAUC